CCUACGGGGGACAGCAGUGAGGAAUAUUGGUCAAUGGUCGGGAGACUGAACCAGCCAAGCCGCGUGAGGGAUGAAGGUACAGAGUAUCGUAAACCUCUUUUGUCAGGGAACAAAGGCGGGGACGUGUCCCCGGCUGAGUGUACCUGAAGAAAAAGCAUCGGCUAACUCCGUGCCAGCAGCCGCGGUAAUACGGAGGAUGCGAGCGUUAUCCGGAUUUAUUGGGUUUAAAGGGUGCGCAGGCGGUCUGUUAAGUCAGCGGUCAAAGCCCGGGGCUCAACCCCGGCCCGCCGUUGAAACUGGCAGUCUCGAGUGGGAGAGAAGUAUGCGGAAUGCGCGGUGUAGCGGUGAAAUGCAUAGAUAUCGCGCAGAACUCCGAUUGCGAAGGCAGCAUGCCGGCUCCACACUGACGCUGAGGCACGAAAGCGUGGGUAUCGAACAGGAUUAGAUACCCUUGUAGUC
rnacentral:rRNA from 1 species